UACAAUACACUCUUUUGUUCUCCCUUUAUCCUUUUCUCUCUACUCUUCUAUGUUAUACAUUAUCUUGCAAUGCUUUUCAUCAACUUCAAACAUGUUAUCAGCACGAAGCUCUAAACAAUCCGAGGUAAAAUUGAUUCCUAUUAUUUUGGUAUUGUUUGUUGUAUUAUUCUUUUAUCACUGUUUUAAUGUAAAUCCUUAUUUGUUUUGUUUCCUUGUCAUCCUUCC
rnacentral:lncRNA from 1 species